CUACCUUGUUGCUUUGGCGGGACCGCUCGGUCUCGAGCCGCUGGGGAUUCGUCCCAGGCGAGCGCCCGCCAGAGUUAAACCAAACUCUUGUUAUUUAACCGGUCGUCUGAGUUAAAAUUUUGAAUAAAUCAAAACUUUCAACAACGGAUCUCUUGGUUCUCGCAUCGAUGAAGAACGCAGCGAAAUGCGAUAAGUAAUGUGAAUUGCAGAAUUCAGUGAAUCAUCGAAUCUUUGAACGCACAUUGCGCCCCUUGGUAUUCCGAGGGGCAUGCCUGUUCGAGCGUCAUUACACCACUCAAGCUAUGCUUGGUAUUGGGCGUCGUCCUUAGUUGGGCGCGCCUUAAAGACCUCGGCGAGGCCACUCCGGCUUUAGGCGUAGUAGAAUUUAUUCGAACGUCUGUCAAAGGAGAGGAACUCUGCCGACUGAAACCUUUAUUUUUCUAGGUUGACCUCGGAUCAGGUAGGGAUACCCGCUGAACUUAAGCAUAU
rnacentral:rRNA from 1 species